CAACAUUGUCCCAGUUUUCUAAAAGAGCAAGAAGAAUGACUCUGGAAACUACAGGCUUCUUAGCCUGGAUACUCACUUCAGUGCCUGCAGCCCGAUUUUCUGUUCUGCAAGAUUCCUUUAUGUGUUUGGACAUCCCUUUGUCAAAAAAGAUUUACAUUUCCCAGAAUGCCUGUUCAGUAUGGAUUUCAACUAGUGGCCUGAAUGUAACCAAAGAUGAGGAACAUACCUGGAAAAGU